rnacentral:pre_miRNA from 1 species
ACCAUUUCCAGCAGCCACCUUGUAGAGAAGGUUCAUUAAAUUUUUGUACAAUACUACAUACAAUAAUGAACCUUGUGUACAAAUUGGCUGCAGGAUGG